rnacentral:snRNA from 1 species
GGAUGUGAGGGAGAUCUGGCUGUGACAUCUGUCAUUGAUCACCAGGGUUGAUCCAGCUGAUCUGGCUGGCUGCUCCUCCCUCACUGCUCCCUCCUGAAGUUUCGAGCUCGGUGAAAGCAGACUACCACCCCCAACAGAGGAUGACUGUUUCCUCUGUCAAGGGUGUAGGAGUAGCUGCGCUUCCCUCCUAGAAGCUCCAAAUAAAGUUUUGUCAGCAAAGGGGCUGGGGAUUUAGCUCAGUGGCACUGUGCCUGCCUCACAAG